AAUUGACCUCGGAUCAGGUAGGGAUACCCGCUGAACUUAAGCAUAUCAAUAAGCGGAGGAAAAGAAACCAACAGGGAUUGCCUCAGUAACGGCGAGUGAAGCGGCAACAGCUCAAAUUUGAAAUCUGGUCCUUUCAGGGCCCGAGUUGUAAUUUGUAGAGGAUGUUUCGGGUGCGACGCGGGUCUAAGUCCUUUGGAACAGGGCGUCAUAGAGGGUGAGAAUCCCGUAUGUGACCCGUGAUCAAGCCCAUGUGAAACCCCUUCGACGAGUCGAGUUGUUUGGGAAUGCAGCUCAAAAUGGGUGGUAAAUUUCAUCUAAAGCUAAAUACCGGCCAGAGACCGAUAGCGCACAAGUAGAGUGAUCGAAAGAUGAAAAGCACUUUGGAAAGAGAGUCAAAAAGUACGUGAAAUUGUUGAAAGGGAAGCGCUUGCAACCAGACCUGUCCGCAGGCGAUCAGCCCUCGUUCUCGGGGGUGCACUCGUCUGUGAUCAGGCCAGCAUCGGUUCGGGCGGUCGGAUAAAGGCCUUGGGAAUGUGGCUCCUUUCGGGGAGUGUUAUAGCCCUCGGUGCAAUGCGGCCAGCCCGGACCGAGGACCGCGCCUUCGGGCUAGGAUGCUGGCGUAAUGGUUGUAAGCGACCCGUCUUGAAACACGGACCAAGGAGUCUAACAUCUAUGCAAGUGUUUGGGUGUCAAACCCAUACGCGUAAUGAAAGUGAACGGAGGUGAGAACCCUUAAGGGCGCAUCAUCGACCGAUCCAGAUGUCUUCGGAUGGAUUUGAGUAUGAGCAUAGCUGUUGGGACCCGAAAGAUGGUGAACUAUGCCUGAAUAGGGUGAAGCCAGGGGAAACCCUGGUGGAGGCUCGCAGCGGUUCUGACGUGCAAAUCGAUCGUCAAAUUUGGGUAUAGGGGCGAAAGACUAAUCGAACCAUCUAGUAGCUGGUUCCUGCC
rnacentral:rRNA from 1 species